rnacentral:misc_RNA from 1 species
GGAGAGGAAGGUGGAAAUUCCUUACUUUUCAUGUCUUAAUUUUACAAGAUGAAAUAAGCAUGCCAUGUGUUGUUAUACAAGUCUUAUUUUCCUGUAACCCAUUAAAUAUAUAUUGCACUGCAAUUGGAAUUGACAUACGUAGUUGGCAGGCAAUUGAGAAGGUGAAGACAGACAAGGCAGACAAGCCAUACCAAGAUGUAAAAAUCCUUAAUGUGACUGUUCCCAAGUCUUAGUAGACAGAUUCCCAAGUCGUAGGGGGAAUCUGUCUUGAUAUUGUUGGUGGCAUUUCUCAGAAUUACUAGUCAAGUUUUUCAUGUUUACUGAAAAGAACGAGGAGGAAGAUUGCCAUUUUUAUUCUAUAGCCUGGGAUUGCCAUUGACCGAAGAGUUGUUGCCUUUCUUGGGCUUUUCUUACCCUUCCUGAGUUUAAUGAUAAUGUAUGAGUGGUUGUUGUACACAAGUGUUGGUCAGACCUUAAUGAUAUUUGCUAAUGAGUGUCCAUUUAAUAAAGACUUUACUUUAUGGUGUUUUCACUCCAUUGAUUGCUUUAGUAAUGUGUUCUGAGUCAUGGUAAACAAUUUUGAAGAUAAAGUGAAUAAACAUUGGAGUUGUAUCAUGGAACACCGGCUAUAUAAAUGGUACUGAUUUAUUUCUUC